rnacentral:rRNA from 1 species
AUUGAACGCUGGCGGCAGGCUUAACACAUGCAAGUCGAGCGGAGCGAGGGUGCUUGCACCUUAGCUUAGCGGCGGACGGGUGAGUAAUGCUUAGGAAUCUGCCUAUCAGUGGGGGACAACAUUCCGAAAGGAAUGCUAAUACCGCAUACGCCCUACGGGGGAAAGCAGGGGAUCUUCGGACCUUGCGCUAAUAGAUGAGCCUAAGUCGGAUUAGCUAGUUGGUGGGGUAAAGGCCUACCAAGGCGACGAUCUGUAGCGGGUCUGAGAGGAUGAUCCGCCACACUGGGACUGAGACACGGCCCAGACUCCUACGGGAGGCAGCGGUGGGGAAUAUUGGACAAUGGGCGGAAGCCUGAUCCAGCCAUGCCGCGUGUGUGAAGAAGGCCUUUUGGUUGUAAAGCACUUUAAGCGAGGAGGAGGAGCUCUAGGUUAAUACCCUAGAUGCUUGGACGUUACUCGCAGAAUAAGCACCGGCUAACUCUGUGCCAGCCGCCGCAGUAACAC